rnacentral:siRNA from 1 species
CACUACCCUUUUCAAUUCUAC